rnacentral:rRNA from 1 species
UUGUCGGGUAAGUUCCGACCUGCACGAAUGGCGUAAUGAUGGCCAGGCUGUCUCCACCCGAGACUCAGUGAAAUUGAACUCGCUGUGAAGAUGCAGUGUACCCGCGGCAAGACGGAAAGACCCCGUGAACCUUUACUAUAGCUUGACACUGAACAUGGAGCCUUGAUGUGUAGGAUAGGUGGGAGGCCUGGAAGUGCGGACGCCAGUCUGCAUGGAGCCAUCCUUGAAAUACCACCCUUGAAUGUUCGAUGUUCUCACUUAAGCCCGUCAUCCGGGCUGAGGACAGUGUCUGGCGGGUAGUUUGACUGGGGCGGUCUCCUCCCAAAGCGUAACGGAGGAGCACGAAGGUUGGCUAAUCACGGUCGGACAUCGUGAGGUU